rfam:Ictidomys tridecemlineatus contig031680, whole genome shotgun sequence.
UGUGGUGUAUCUCAGUGGUAGAGUGUUUCCUUGGUAUGCAGGAGACCCUAGGUUCAAUCCCCAGUACCAUGA